GCCUGGCUAGCUCAGUUGGCUGAGCAUCAGAUUUCUACUUUGAGGGUUUAGGGUUCAAGUCCCUGGCCAGGCA